UACGUAGGGCGCGAGCGUUGUCCGGAAUUAUUGGGCGUAAAGAGCUCGUAGGCGGCCAGUUGCGUCCGCUGUGAAAUCCUGGGGCUUAACCCCGGGCGUGCAGUGGAUACGGGCUGGCUAGAGGCAGGCAGGGGAGAACGGAAUUCCCGGUGUAGCGGUGAAAUGCGCAGAUAAUCGGGAGGAACACCGGUGGCGAAGGCGGUUCUCUGGGCCUGUACUGACGCUGAGGAGCGAAAGCGUGGGGAGCGAACAGG
rnacentral:rRNA from 1 species